CUCAACCCCGGGAACGGGUUCGAAACUAUCACGCUAGAGCAGAUCAGAGGGUAGUGGAAUUCCCGGUGUAGCGGUAAUAUGCGUAGAUAUCGGGAGGAACACCAGUGGCGAAGGCGGCUACCUGGGGUCUUGCUGACGCUGAGGAACGAAAGCCAGGGGAGCGAACGGGAUUAGAUACCCCGGUAGUCCUGGCCGUAAACGAUGGGCACUAGGUGUAGGGAGCUUCGACCCUCUCUGCGCCGCCGCUAACGCAUUAAGUGCCCCGCCUGGGAAGUACAACCGCAAGGUUAAAACUCAAAGGAAUUGACGGGUCCCCGCACAAGCAGUGGAGCAUGUGGUUUAAUUCGAGGCUACGCGAAGAACCUUACCAGGGUUUGACAUCCCGCUGAAAGCACCUAGAGAUAGGAGCCUCCUUCGGGCAGUGGAGACAGGUGGUGCAUGGCUGUCGUCAGCUCGUGCCGUGAGGUGUUGGAUUAAGUUCCGCAACGAGCGCAACCCUCGUUGUUAGUUGCCAUCAUUAAGUUGGGCACUCUAGCGAGACUGCCGGUGUCAAGCCGGAGGAAGGUGGGGACGACGUCAAGUCAUCAUGCCCUUUAUAUCCUGGGCUACACACGUGCUACAAUGGACGGUACAACGGGUUGCCACACCGCGAGGUGGAGCGAAUCCCUUAAAGCCGUUCUCAGUUCGGAUCGGAGGCUGCAACUCGCCUCCAUGAAGUUGGAAUUGCUAGUAAACGUGGAUCAGCAUGCCGCGUUGAAUACGUACCCGGGGAUUGUACACACCGCCCGUCACACCAUGGAAGUUGGUAACACCCGAAGUCCGUAAGCUAACCCUUUGGGAAGCAGCGGCCGAAGGUGGGAUCAGUGACUAGGGUGAAGUCGUAACAAGGUAACC
rnacentral:rRNA from 1 species